rnacentral:rRNA from 1 species
CGCACAAGCGGUGGAGCAUGUGGUUUAAUUCGAUGCAACGCGAAGAACCUUACCUACUCUUGACAUCCAGAGAACUUUCCAGAGAUGGAUUGGUGCCUUCGGGAACUCUGAGACAGGUGCUGCAUGGCUGUCGUCAGCUCGUGUUGUGAAAUGUUGGGUUAAGUCCCGCAACGAGCGCAACCCUUAUCCUUUGUUGCCAGCGGUCCGGCCGGGAACUCAAAGGAGACUGCCAGUGAUAAACUGGAGGAAGGUGGGGAUGACGUCAAGUCAUCAUGGCCCUUACGAGUAGGGCUACACACGUGCUACAAUGGCGCAUACAAAGAGAAGCGACCUCGCGAGAGCAAGCGGACCUCAUAAAGUGCGUCGUAGUCCGGAUUGGAGUCUGCAACUCGACUCCAUGAAGUCGGAAUCGCUAGUAAUCGUGGAUCAGAAUGCCACGGUGAAUACGUUCCCGGGCCUUGUACACACCGCCCGUCACACCAUGGGAGUGGGUUGCAAAAGAAGUAGGUAGCUUAACCUUCGGGAGGGCGCUUACCACUUUGUGAUUCAUGACUGGGGUGAAGUCGUAACAAGGUAACCGUAGGGGAACCUGCGGUUGGAUCACCUCCUUACCUUAAAGAA